GAUGAACGCUGGCGGCGUGCCUAAUACAUGCAAGUCGAGCGAACAGAUGAGGAGCUUGCUCCUCUGACGUUAGCGGCGGACGGGUGAGUAACACGUGGAUAACCUACCUAUAAGACUGGGAUAACUUCGGGAAACCGGAGCUAAUACCGGAUAAUAUAUUGAACCGCAUGGUUCAAUAGUGAAAGACGGUUUUGCUGUCACUUAUAGAUGGAUCCGCGCCGCAUUAGCUAGUUGGUAAGGUAACGGCUUACCAAGGCAACGAUGCGUAGCCGACCUGAGAGAGUGAUCGGCCACACUAGAACUGAGACACGGUCCAGAAUCCUACGGGAGGCAGCAGUAGGGAAUCUUCCGCAAUGGGCGAAAGCCUGACGGAGCAACGCCGCGUGAGUGAUGAAGGUCUUCGGAUCGUAAAACUCUGUUAUUAGGGAAGAACAAAUGUGUAAGUAACUAUGCACGUCUUGACGGUACCUAAUCAGAAAGCCACGGCUAACUACGUG
rnacentral:rRNA from 1 species